CAGCACCUCAAGUGGUCAGGAUGAUUAUUGGGCCUAAAGCAUCCGUAGCCGGCUCUGUAAGUUUUCGGUUAAAUCUGUACGCUCAACGUACAGGCUGCCGGGAAUACUGCAGCGCUAGGGAGUGGGAGGGGUAGACGGUACUCGGUAGGAAGGGGUAAAAUCCUUUGAUCUAUUGAUGACCACCUGUGGCGAAGGCGGUCUACCAGAACACGUCCGACGGUGAGGGAUGAAAGCUGGGGGAGCAAACCGGAUUAGAUACCCGAGUAGUCC
rnacentral:rRNA from 1 species